rnacentral:rRNA from 1 species
GAUGAACGCUGGCGGCGUGCCUAAUACAUGCAAGUCGAGCGAACGGACGAGAAGCUUGCUUUUCUGAUGUUAGCGGCGGACGGGUGAGUAACACGUGGAUAACCUACCUAUAAGACUGGGAUAACUUCGGGAAACCGGAGCUAAUACCGGAUAAUAUUUUGAACCGCAUGGUUCAAAAGUGAAAGACGGUCUUGCUGUCACUUAUAGAUGGAUCCGCGCUGCAUUAGCUAGUUGGUAAGGUAACGGCUUACCAAGGCAACGAUGCAUAGCCGACCUGAGAGGGUGAUCGGCCACACUGGAACUGAGACACGGUCCAGACUCCUACGGGAGGCAGCAGUAGGGAAUCUUCCGCAAUGGGCGAAAGCCUGACGGAGCAACGUCGCGUGAGUGAUGAAGGUCUUCGGAUCGUAAAACUCUGUUAUUAGGGAAGAACAUAUGUGUAAGUAACUGUGCACAUCUUGACGGUACCUAAUCAGAAAGCCACGGCUAACUACGUGCCAGCAGCCGCGGUAAUACGUAGGUGGCAAGCGUUAUCCGGAAUUAUUGGGCGUAAAGCGCGCGUAGGCGGUUUUUUAAGUCUGAUGUGAAAGCCCACGGCUCAACCGUGGAGGGUCAUUGGAAACUGGAAAACUUGAGUGCAGAAGAGGAAAGUGGAAUUCCAUGUGUAGCGGUGAAAUGCGCAGAGAUGUGGAGGAACACCAGUGGCGAAGGCGACUUUCUGGUCUGUAACUGACGCUGAUGUGCGAAAGCGUGGGGAUCAAACAGGAUUAGAUACCCUGGUAGUCCACGCCGUAAACGAUGAGUGCUAAGUGUUAGGGGGUUUCCGCCCCUUAGUGCUGCAGCUAACGCAUUAAGCACUCCGCCUGGGGAGUACGACCGCAAGGUUGAAACUCAAAGGAAUUGACGGGGGCCCGCACAAGCGGUGGAGCAUGUGGUUUAAUUCGAAGCAACGCGAAGAACCUUACCAAAUCUUGACAUCCUUUGACAACUCUAGAGAUAGAGCCUUCCCCUUCGGGGGACAAAGUGACAGGUGGUGCAUGGUUGUCGUCAGCUCGUGUCGUGAGAUGUUGGGUUAAGUCCCGCAACGAGCGCAACCCUUAAGCUUAGUUGCCAUCAUUAAGUUGGGCACUCUAAGUUGACUGCCGGUGACAAACCGGAGGAAGGUGGGGAUGACGUCAAAUCAUCAUGCCCCUUAUGAUUUGGGCUACACACGUGCUACAAUGGACAAUACAAAGGGCAGCGAAACCGCGAGGUCAAGCAAAUCCCAUAAAGUUGUUCUCAGUUCGGAUUGUAGUCUGCAACUCGACUACAUGAAGCUGGAAUCGCUAGUAAUCGUAGAUCGGCAUGCUACGGUGAAUACGUUCCCGGGUCU